AGUUAAACACUUCAGAAAGUCUUAUAUUUUGAAAAUAUAAAUUAAGGAGUUUAAAUCUCCUAUUAACUU
rnacentral:tRNA from 1 species